GUCGGUUCACAUUGCUAAUAUCAAUCACAUGCCCUCGAGGCAACCUCCACAAGAAAAGUACAUCGUUCUACAGUUGUCGUUAGCCCGGGCCUUGAACUUUGAGUGGUCGUCGGUAAACAUGUUUGCGCAGUAAGCACUGCGCACUCAAUAUCGCUCUGACGUCUCACUUCACCCUAUAGGUUAUACGAACUUUUGUAUUUGCUUAUACAUGUAUUAAUAUAACGGCCUAUUCCAGCACAUGUACGCAGUUACAAAUGAAGGGGCAAAAUUUUAACACCCCCUUCUGAUAUUUUUUGGCACAUAAAAUUUAAUGCCAAUAAAAGUUAUAGCUUGGUAGUAUGUAUUAUGAAGACUUGACAUGUGAAUGUAGUUUUGAAAUAUAUUAAACGAUUUUUUUUCAAAUAAAAUUAUAAAGAGAAUAAACAAUGAUCGAGGAAAACAUUCCUAUUUGUAUACAUAGUUGAAGUCCUUUGUGACGUGAUCCAGUGUGACCGCGUGGCGGCAGUGGCAUGACGGACGGCGGUAGCUGAGAUAAUGAGCGCGCCAAGGCCGACGCGUGCUAAUUACAAUUACCAGAAGUCGGACGAUAUUACUUCAAGGCCUGCUCGACGAGCUGACCUCCGCAUAUCGGUCGUGGAGGACAGACGGUCGCAAAUAUUUGCGCGCACUAGAGGCGCGCGAGCUGGGGUCGG
rnacentral:misc_RNA from 1 species